AAGACUGUACUUUCAGGGACCAUUUCUAUAGGUCAUUAGUAGAGAGCGUUCUCUGAACAUGUAGAGCACCAGAAGCAACAAGGAGGAGGAGAAGUGUCCGCUCCUGAAAGUGGAGCCAGCUUUUGUUGUUGUUUUGCUGCAUCUGGCAUUUGCUAUUAAUGACUAUUAUUCUCUUCCUUUGGGUAGAGUAAGAGGGAGAGGACACAGUCUGAGCAGU
rnacentral:snoRNA from 1 species